rnacentral:lncRNA from 1 species
GCAGCUUUGCCUCGGGAGAGAAAAAGAGAGUCGAUUCCGAGUACAGCUGGGCCACUGGGACUGCAUUCCUGCCUGUGAGGAGGACAGCCUGUCAAUGAGCCAGAAGGGGCUAACAGAGCCUUCAGUUGCAGGGUCAAGAAGAGCCACAUUCAAACCUGACUAUAUGAAAUAAUUAUCACCCAGAGAUAUUGGACUUGGAAUAGAAUAGAGAAACCAAAUGCUAUUUCUACGCCAUCUCCAUUUAGAGAGAGUGUAAGUAGGGGCUUUUGCUCUUAUUCUUGGUGUUGAAUGUGG